ACCCAGUCUCGUCAGAUCAUGGAAGUUAAGCAACAUUGGGUCAAGUUAGUACUUGGAUGGGUGACCGCCUGGGAAUACUUGAUGCUGUAGGUAA
rnacentral:rRNA from 1 species